UGUAAUUCCAGCACUUUGGGAGGCGGAGGCGGGCGGAUCACGAGGUCAGGAGAUCGAGACCAUCCGGACUAACAUGGUGAAACCCCAUCUGUACUAAAAAUACAAAAAAUUAGCCAGGUGUGGUGGCGUGCGCCUGUAGUCCCAGCUACUCGGGAGGCUGAGGCAGGAGAAUGGUGUGAACCCGGGAGGCGGAGCUUGCAGUGAGCUGAGACCACGCCACUGCACUCCAGCCUGGGCGACAGAGCAAGACUAUGUCUCCAAAAAAAAAAAAAAAAAUGGUAAUAGUGGCCCGGCGCGGUGGCUCAUGCCUGUAAUCCCAGCACUUUGGGAGGCUAAGGCGGGCACGUCACGAGGUCAGAAGAUGGAGACCAUCCUGGCUAACACGGUGAAACCCCGUCUCUACGAAAAAUACAAAAAAUUAGCCGGGCGUGGUGGCGGGUGCCUGUAGUCCCAACUACUGAGGAGGCUGUGGCAGGAGAAUCGCUUGAACCCGGGAGGCAGGCGGAGGUUGCAGUGAGCCAAGAUCGCACCACUGCACUCCAGCCUGAGUGACAGAGCGAGACUCCAUCUCAAAAAAAAAAAAAGGUAAUAGUGUAUUUUUAAAAGAUGGUAAUAGUGUCUCUUCUGCAUUGUAAACUCAGAGCUGUGACUAGGCCAAUGGGGCAUCUCCGUGUUUUUUAUUAUCCAGAUGAUGUUCUGUGCCCUUUGAGUUUACCUUACUUUUGCAGAUUACAGAGUAAGCCGCCAGCAGAAGCAAUAAAGACAUUACUGGGCCUUUGCACUGCAACAUCAUGCCUCUGAAGAAAAAAAAAAGUGCAAACAUUACAAUAGAUUCAGCUCCUUUAGUUCUCACUUCUGUCUCCACGUCAAGAUAAAAUACUGACAUUGAAAUAGAAUGGAUGACAUGCUUGAAAUGAGUCAUGUGCCUGAAAAGUCAUUAACAAACAACAGUUCCAGAGGAAAGCCAGGAAAAACUCCCCAUGGAUUUAGAGACAGAGCUCUCACCUUCAACAGGUUACUUUUUCCUUGUCUCAGGCUUCCUUGGAAAACAACCUAUAACUAACUUUCUGGGAGUAAAGCUUCAGGUGGAAGAACAAUUGGAUCAAACUUGGAAAACAUGCCCCCAGUUUGUCUACUCCAUUGAACUUUGCAUGCUUGGAGCCCCUGGCCUCAGCACACUCAAUCGCACAAGCCGGCCUGCAGCACCUGUACAGCACCAUGGGAGUCCCCUGCAGAGCUGCAACUUUGAGAGUGGGUAUAGUGACGUAACUCGGGUUCUUCAAGGGAUGAACACUCCAACUUUGAAACCACUAGCCUGUAGGUGUGGACGAAAAGGCAGUUGCAUGUUAUAAAACAAUAUUACUCAUA